rnacentral:misc_RNA from 1 species
UUGAAUAAACUUGGUUAGAUUGUUUGCUGGCUUUUUACAAAGCAUGUGCACAUCUAGUCCAUUUUUAAUCCCCUGUGCAUUUCGUGUAGAUCUGAAACAAUGUUCAAGAGGUUUUGGUUUGAGAAUUGCUGUGUUUCCAAGGCCAGCUUUUCUUGUGUUUCAGGUCUAUGUCUUCUAUAUCCUUUACUCCUGACUGUUUGAAUGUUUUUAAUAGGCAUUUUUUGCCUUAUAAUAAUA